rnacentral:rRNA from 1 species
UACGGAGGGAGCUAGCGUUGUUCGGAAUUACUGGGCGUAAAGCGCGCGUAGGCGGCUUAUCAAGUCAGGCGUGAAAUUCCCGGGCUCAACCUGGGGGCUGCGCUUGAUACUGAUUGGCUUGAAUGCGGGAGAGGAUAGUGGAAUUCCCAGUGUAGAGGUGAAAUUCGUAGAUAUUGGGAAGAACACCGGUGGCGAAGGCGGCUAUCUGGCCCGUAAUUGACGCUGAGGCGCGAAAGCGUGGGGAGCAAACAGG